rnacentral:rRNA from 1 species
AUUGAACGCUGGCGGCAUGCCUUACACAUGCAAGUCGAACGGCAGCACGGGAGCAAUCCUGGUGGCGAGUGGCGAACGGGUGAGUAAUAUAUCGGAACGUGCCCAGUCGUGGGGAUAACGUAGCGAAAGCUACGCUAAUACCGCAUACGAUCUAUGGAUGAAAGCGGGGGAUCGCAAGACCUCGCGCGAUUGGAGCGGCCGAUAUCAGAUUAGGUAGUUGGUGAGGUAAAGGCUCACCAAGCCGACGAUCUGUAGCUGGUCUGAGAGGACGACCAGCCACACUGGGACUGAGACACGGCCCAGACUCCUACGGGAGGCAGCAGUGGGGAAUUUUGGGACAAUGGGCGCAAGCCUGAUCCAGCAAUGCCGCGUGCAGGAUGAAGGCCUCGGUUGUAAC